CGGGUGAGUAACGCGUGGAUAACCUGCCUUGCACUGGGGGAUAACACUUAGAAAUAGGUGCUAAUACCGCAUAAGCGCACAGAGCCGCAUGGCUCAGUGUGAAAAACUCCGGUGGUGUAAGAUGGAUCCGCGUCUGAUUAGCUAGUUGGCGGGGUAGAAGCCCACCAAGGCGACGAUCAGUAGCCGGCCUGAGAGGGUGAACGGCCACAUUGGGACUGAGACACGGCCCAAACUCCUACGGAAGGCAGCAG
rnacentral:rRNA from 1 species